UACGUAGGGUGCAAGCGUUGUCCGGAAUUAUUGGGCGUAAAGAGCUUGUAGGCGGUUUGUCGCGUCUGCUGUGAAAUUUCGGGGCUCAACCCCGAACUUGCGGUGGGUACGGGCAGGCUAGAGUGUGGUAGUGGAGACUGGAAUUCCUGGUGUAGCGGUGAAAUGCGCAGAUAUCAGGAGGAACACCGAUGGCGAAGGCAGGUCUCUGGGCCACUACUGACGCUGAGAAGCGAAAGCAUGGGGAGCGAACAGG
rnacentral:rRNA from 1 species